GGGAUGAACGCUGGCGGCGUGCUUAACACAUGCAAGUCACGGGGGCCCGAGGCGCAAGCCUGGGGCAACCGGCGAACGGGUGCGUAACACGUGAGCAACCUACCGAAUUGUGGGGGAUAGCCGGCCCAACGGCCGGGUAAUACCGCAUACGCUCGAGACGAGGCAUUUCGACUCGAGGAAACCUCCGGGGCAAUUUGAGGGGCUCGCGGCCUAUCAGCUAGUUGGUGAGGUAACGGCUCACCAAGGCAACGACGGGUAGCUGGUCUGAGAGGAUGGCCGGCCACAUUGGGACUGAGAUACGGCCCAGACUCCUACGGGAGGCAGCAGUGGGGAAUCUUGCGCAAUGG
rnacentral:rRNA from 1 species